CAGCUACGUAGUGGCCAUGCUGGUUUGCAUCAGCAAUGUAUCCGAUGUCCCGUCGUGUGCUGGAGAACAUCAAAGGCAUUCCUGGAGGACCUCUCCCCUCUUCUCAGUGCCAGGCCUGAGCCAGUCAAAGCUCUGAUCCUUCUUUAUUGCUCACUGUACUGGCCAGACUCUCCAGUACAAUGCUGAAUAGAAGCAUGAGCACAGACAUCCCUAUCUCCUUCCCGGUCUUCGUGGGAACGCAUUCAUCUUUGACCCUUAAAUAUGUUAGCUGCAGGUGUUUUGUAGAUGUUCUUUAUCAAUUGAGGAAGUUCUCUUCUGUUCCUAGUUUGCUGAAAGUCUUUUUUUUCUCUUUUUUACUUUUUCCUUUUUCAUACUCCUCAGUCAUCAUGAAAGUCUUAAAUAAGGAAUGGAGGUUGGAUUUCUUCAAAUGCUUAUUCUGCAUCUGAUGUGCAUAUCUGCAAUUGGCAAACACUCCUUCCUCUAUCAAAUGAUGUUCUCUCCAGCUUUCUGCCCAAGAGCUGUCCAGAUGAACAGAUCAAGGGCUCUCUUGCCCUCUGGAGCCCAGGUGGGUUCAGCCAAUGGGGAAACUCAGCAGGAAAUAGGUGAGGGAGAGUGGGUUGAAGAUAUUUAUUCCCCUAGUCCCCUUGUGAUCUCCUGGCACUCAGCCCAAACCUUCCAAACUGUUACUUCAUUAAACUCUCC
rnacentral:lncRNA from 1 species